rnacentral:rRNA from 1 species
UGGGGAAUAUUGCACAAUGGGCGAAAGCCUGAUGCAGCGACGCCGCGUGAGGGAUGGAGGCCUUCGGGUUGUAAACCUCUUUCGCUCAUGGUCAAGCCGCAACAAUGGUUGUGGUGAGGGUAGUGGGUAAAGAAGCACCGGCUAACUACGUGCCAGCAGCCGCGGUAAUACGUAGGGUGCGAGCGUUGUCCGGAAUUAUUGGGCGUAAAGGGCUUGUAGGCGGUUUGUCGCGUCUGCCGUGAAAUCCUCUGGCUUAACUGGGGGCGUGCGGUGGGUACGGGCAGGCUUGAGUGCGGUAGGGGAGACUGGAACUCCUGGUGUAGCGGUGGAAUGCGCAGAUAUCAGGAAGAACACCGGUGGCGAAGGCGGGUCUCUGGGCCGUUACUGACGCUGAGGAGCGAAAGCGUGGGGAGCGAACAGGAUUAGAUACCCUGGUAGUCCACGCUGUAAACGUUGGGCACUAGGUGUGGGGGCCACCCGUGGUUUCUGCGCCGUAGCUAACGCUUUAAGUGCCCCGCCUGGGGAGUACGGCCGCAAGGCUA